rnacentral:rRNA from 1 species
AGCAGCCGCAGUAAUUCCAGCUCCAAUAGCGUAUAUUAAAGUUGUUGCAGUUAAAAAGCUCGUAGUUGAAUUUCGAGAUCAAUUUGUCGGUCGUGCCUCGGUACGUACUGGCGUUAUUGAUUUCUCCCUUCUGAAGAACCGCGAUGUCAUUAAUUUGGUGUCGUGGGGAAUCAGGACUGUUACUUUGAAAAAAUUAGAGUGUUUAAAGCAGGCGCACGCUUGAAUACAUUAGCAUGGAAUAAUGAAAUAGGACGUUUGAUUCUAUUUUGUUGGUUUCUAGGAUCGACGUAGUGAUUAAUAGGGAUAGUUGGGGGCAUUAGUAUUCAAUUGUCAGAGGUGAAAUUCUUGGAUUUAUUGAAGACUAACUACUGCGAAAGCAUUUGCCAAGGAUGUUUUCAUUAAUCAAGAACGAAAGUUAGGGGAUCGAAGACGAUCAGAUACCGUCGUAGUCUUAACCAUAAACUAUGCCGACUAGGGAUCGGAUGAUGUUAAUUUUUAAUGUA